ACUUUGAAACAAAAAAAAAAAGAAAAAAGAAAAAAUUAAUUUUUUCUAUGGAAUAUAUCCUGAAAUAUAGCAAAGAUAAAACGGUUAUUUUAAUCAUUGAUCCAAACAAUCGUCACACGAUUCGAUUUUAAUUGAGGAAGAUGCAUCGCGCCGAGAGAAUUCAUCGAUCACGUUGUCAGUAAUGCGAUCUCGUGAACAAGGCGUCGAUUAUCCCAAAUCUUUCAGACCGAUGAAGUAUCGAUGACCGCCAUGUUACGUCAACCAAGCACAAGAAGCCUUUUCAAGCAAUUGUAACGUGUACUCUUAACGCGGGAUAUGUAAUAAAUAAUAAAAAAAUCAA